UCCGAUAUGGUGUAGUGGCUAACAUUAUCGCCUCUCAUUGAUUGGUCGCGAUAGCCCGGGGUUCAAUUCCCCGUGUCGGAA
rfam:Sphaerobolus stellatus SS14 unplaced genomic scaffold SPHSTscaffold_22, whole genome shotgun sequence.